UACGUAGGGUGCGAGCGUUAAUCGGAAUUACUGGGCGUAAAGCGCACGUAGGCGGCUCUUUAAGUCGGGGGUGAAAUCCUGGAGCUCAACUCCAGAACUGCCUUCGAUACUGGAGAGCUUGAGUUCGGGAGAGGUGAGUGGAACUGCGAGUGUAGAGGUGAAAUUCGUAGAUAUUCGCAAGAACACCAGUGGCGAAGGCGGCUCACUGGCCCGAUACUGACGCUGAGGUGCGAAAGCGUGGGGAGCAAGCAGG
rnacentral:rRNA from 1 species